UACGUAGGGUGCGAGCGUUAAUCGGAAUUACUGGGCGUAAAGCGUGCGCAGGCGGUUCGUUGUGUCGGCGGUGAAAGCCCCGGGCUUAACCUGGGAAUGGCCGUCGAAACUGGCGAACUGGAGUGUGGCAGAGGGGGGUGGAAUUCCGCGUGUAGCAGUGAAAUGCGUAGAGAUGCGGAGGAACACCGAUGGCGAAGGCAGCCCCCUGGGCUGACACUGACGCUCAGGCACGAAAGCCAGGGGAGCGAACGGG
rnacentral:rRNA from 1 species